rnacentral:rRNA from 1 species
GACGAACGCUGGCGGCGUGCUUAACACAUGCAAGUCGAACGGAAAGGCCCUGCUUUUGUGGGGUGCUCGAGUGGCGAACGGGUGAGUAACACGUGAGUAACCUGCCCUUGACUUUGGGAUAACUUCAGGAAACUGGGGCUAAUACCGGAUAGGAGCUCCUGCUGCACGGUGGGGGUUGGAAAGUUUCGGCGGUUGGGGAUGGACUCGCGGCUUAUCAGCUUGUUGGUGAGGUAGUGGCUUACCAAGGCUUUGACGGGUAGCCGGCCUGAGAGGGUGACCGGCCACAUUGGGACUGAGAUACGGCCCAGACUCCUACGGGAGGCAGCAGUGGGGAAUAUUGCACAAUGGGCGGAAGCCUGAUGCAGCAACGCCGCGUGCGGGAUGACGGCCUUCGGGUUGUAAACCGCUUUCGCCUGUGACGAAGCGUGAGUGACGGUAAUGAGUAAAGAAGCACCGGCUAACUACGUG